rnacentral:rRNA from 1 species
GCAGUCACUUGAAGCAGUUUCGGCUGUGGAUGGUGGCGGACGGGUGAGUAACGCGUAAAUAACUUGCCCUUUAGACUGGGACAACUGUUGGAAACGACAGCUAAUACCGGAUAUUAUGAAACCUUGGCAUCAAGGGAUUAUGAAAGCUAUAUGCGCUAGAGGAGAGAUUUGCGUCCUAUUAGCUAGUUGGUGAGGUAAUGGCUCACCAAGGCGACGAUAGGUAGCCGGCCUGAGAGGGUGAACGGCCACAAGGGGACUGAGACACGGCCCUUACUCCUACGGGAGGCAGCAGUGGGGAAUAUUGGACAAUGGACCAAGAGUCUGAUCCAGCAAUUCUGUGUGUUUGAUGAAGGCCUUCGGGUUGUAAAGAACUUUAAGUAGGGAAGAAGAAAGUGACGGUACCUACAGAAUAAGCGACGGCUAAAUACGUGCCAGCAGCCGCGGUAAUACGUAUGUCGCAAGCGUUAUCCGGAAUUAUUGGGCAUAAAGCGCGUCUAGGCGGUUUAUUAAGUCUGAUGUGAAAAUGCGGGGCUCAACUCCGUAUUGCGUUGGAAACUGGUAGACUAGAGUAUUGGAGAGGUAGGCGGAACUACAAGUGUAGAGGUGAAAUUCGUAGAUAUUUGUAGGAAUGCCAAUUGGGAAGCCAGCUUACUGGACAAAUACUGACGCUGAAGCGCGAAAGCUAGGGGAGCAACAGGAUUGAUACCCUGGUAGUCUAGCUGUAACGAGAUCACU